rnacentral:lncRNA from 1 species
AAUCGACAGGGAUCAGUUGUGCGAGUACCUCCGACACGGUAAGAGCUGCAGUGCGCUAUUUGCCAUCAGCUGCAUUCUUCAUCGUAUUAUCAGUUCUCAAUCAUAGUCGUGUAUAGGGGCAAAGAAAAGGCGAUAGAAAUCAGUCGAGUGAACAUCUCCGAUAUGCAAGAGCAGCAGUGCACCAUUUGUCACCAUCUGCAUUCUUCUUCGCGUUACCAGUUUUAAUCAUGGUUUCUAGUUAAUUAUGGCGCCGUGCUGUUAACACUUACUAGUCGUUACUCGUUACCAACUGUGCUCUUCUUUACAUUUAUACACUUUACACACUUAUCUUUACCAACUGCAUUCUUCAUCGCAUUGCCAGUUUGAUAUCAUGGUAAACUAUGGCGUCGUGCUGCUGUUGGGUGUUGUAUCGUUGAUGGCUGGUUCAGCCACUGAUGUAGCGAUGUCUCCUGGGUAUGGCGGAUAACAACUCGCAACGCCGCCACUAUUACACAACAUACGACACGACCAGUUGCUACACCAAGGCCUCUAAGUAUUGCACCAAGGCUCCAGGUUAUUAUAUAACAACUUAUGCAGCCCUGAGCUACUACACCGAAUCCCCGCAGUAUUUUUCUUCCCCGAGCUACACUACCAAAGGGUCGAUUACUACACGGAUGCUCCAAAGUACUACACCACCAAAGCACCGUAGUACUACACAACCACAUAUCAUGGUAUGAGAGGAGAGAAAAGGUGAAAUAAUUCAGCAGCCGAGUGAACAUCUCCGUCACAGCAACAGGAACUGCCGUGCACUUUUUGUCAUCAACUUCAUUCUUCGUCGUAUCACAAGUUUUUAAAUGAAGGGAACUAUGGCGUCGUGCUGCUGUUGGGUGUCGUAUCGUCGAUGGCUGGAUCGACCACUGGUGUGCCGAUUUCUCCUGGGUGCGGCGGACUUCAACAACAACAUACGCAACAACCGGAUGCUACACUGAGGCCCCCAAGUGCUACACCACCAAGGCUUCAGAGUAUUAAACCGUAACUGAUGCCACCCCAGUUUAUGUUGGCCCGAGCUACUACGCAGAAUCUCCGAAGUAUUUUUCUUCCCCGAACUUCACUACCUUCACUAUACCGCCUCCUUACCAAACAACAACGUCAACACCUACAUACUAACGAAGGGAGCGGAGUACUACACCACGCAGGGAGCGGAGUACUACACCACGCAGGGAGAGGAGUACUACACCACGCAGGGAGUGGAGUACUACACCAAGGCUCCAGUUUACUUCACUACAACCCACGCUGCUCCAGAGUACUGCACUGAUGUUCCAAAGGACUACACCACCAAAGGCAUCCGAAUAUUACAUCACUACUUUCGUUACUACCAAAUCCUACACCGAAGCUCCCAAAGCACUUCUUUGCCCCGAGUUACUACACCACUAACGCAGCCGAAUAACACCCCAAACUACGAUUCCGCAAUUUUCUACAUGGAAAUUCCUUAUUAUUAGAGCCGAAAUUUCUACUCGGGGUUAUUUAUAUGUAUCGGUUAUUUUCAUGGUGAUUGGUCGCUGGGAAUCAAUUGUUGAUCUUAAAUGAGAAAAAAAAGGUUUAAUACGGGUAUUUUUUUGUAAGACUUGGUUAGUAACUUCAAGCCUGUUAACAUUGCUACAGGUGUCUUUUGUGUUGGAUUUCUUCAAGGCCAGUAUGCUUGCUGAGUUAUAAAUUAUUUUAUGUUAGACUACUGCCUUAGUUACACUCAUUGUUCUUGUGGCUUGACGAUGACUUUAAGGGCGAAAUAAGAAAGAAACUUGUAACCGUUGAUUUUUUCAAAUCUUACAAAUAAGAGGCAAGUGACUGACCUUUGUAUAAAUGAAAGACUUUGAAGUUGAGAAAAAUAUAUUGAUACAAUUCCUAAA